rnacentral:rRNA from 1 species
UACGUAGGGGGCUAGCGUUGUCCGGAAUCAUUGGGCGUAAAGCGCGUGUAGGCGGUCCGGUAAGUCCGCUGUGAAAGUCCAGGGCUCAACCCUGGAAAGCCGGUGGAUACUGCCGGGCUAGAGUCCGGAAGAGGCGAGUGGAAUUCCCGGUGUAGCGGUGAAAUGCGUAGAUAUCGGGAGGAACAUCAGUGGCGAAGGCGGCUGCCUGGCCCAAUACUGACACUCAGGUGCGACGAGCGUGGGGAGCAAACAGGAUUAGAAACCCUGAGUACG